GCCUCGGUGGUGUAGUGGUAAAGAUAAUCGCCUGGUAAACAGGAGGGCGUGGGUUCAAUCCCAGCCGAGGUA
rnacentral:tRNA from 1 species